GGCCGGUUAGGUAAGUCAGUUGAGCAUGGCGCUAACAACGCCAAGGUCACGGGUUCGAUUCCCGUUCGGUCC
rnacentral:tRNA from 1 species